GCCAGUUUGGCUCAGUGGAUAAAUCCAUCAGCUUGUGGACUGAAAUGUUGCUGGUUCGAUUCCAGUAAAAGGCA
rnacentral:tRNA from 1 species